rnacentral:lncRNA from 1 species
CACAUUUUACUUUAAUUGUCUACAUUGAUAUUUCGGAUCACAAGGAUACUCUUACACAACACACAUAACACAUACAUAUAGUGGUUUAUCUCCACUUGCUACUCUAGACACAUGAACCUUAAUCAUGACUCUUACACAAGCCAUACUCCUAAACACUAGGCUAACUAUUGACCUUACUUCUAGAUAGAAGUCAUACAAGCAACGUUUAACAACUCUCGUAGACUCUUACCACUCCUACUAACAACCAUUUAGACAAAACACUCUUCACUAGUUUGGGCCUUUUCACUUGUAGGCCCAUCACACCAAACAGAAAAACACCAAGCCCAACUUCCUUGUUGACUU